rnacentral:misc_RNA from 1 species
GAAAUGCGAUAAGUAAUGUGAAUUGCAGAAUUCCGUGAAUCAUCGAAUCUUUGAACGCACAUUGCGCCCUCUGGUAUUCCGGGGGGCAUGCCUGUCCGAGCGUCAUUGCGAACCCCUCAAGCACGGCUUGUGUGAUGGGCCCUCCCGCGUCUUGGUCGUCAAGACGGGCCCGAAAUGCAGUGGCGGCUUCGCGGUUAUCCGAUCAGCCAGAGCGUAUGGGGACUUUCUCUCUGUCACACGCCCGCGGCGCGGACCGACGCCUGUCGACCUUCAUUCAUCGUUUUUUCGGUUGACCUCGGAUCAGGUUGGGAUACCCGCUGAACUUAAGC